rnacentral:rRNA from 1 species
AUGUUAGCGAGAGCCACAAAAAAGCGAAUUCCAAUAUAUGUUUUCUGCUUUAUGUGCGCAUCCUCUACCUAUUAAGUGUUAAUUAAAUUAUAAGGGUUUCUUUUUAAAUCUUCUAUAACUAAUAAAAAAAUACGGAAGAUUUUGUUACUUUGAGUAAGCUCUUUGGGGGUUCUCG